rnacentral:lncRNA from 1 species
UAAUAUAUUCAGAUACAGUUUCGCGUAGAAUCCUCGACCACAGUACGGCGAACCGCCGUCCGGACGACCGCAGCCCGCAAUGUAAUUAGCUAAAUAUGACUUUCAAACUAAGAGCUACCUAGAAACUCUAUAUUCCAGCCGACGUUUUUGGCAAACGAGCACUUUUAUAUGCGAACCUUCAACGUGUGGUGUGAUACAACUUCGCAAUGAAGAAAUUUACACCAACUCAUCAAAAUGUUAUCACUUGGGAUUAAUGGAAUUUGAAUUUGAUCCACACAGCCAGUGAAACGUGACUGAUAUUUUAGAAAAACAUACUGCGGCACGUUUUCCUCUUUCUGGUGACGUUAUUUAAUUUUAGACGUGAUUAAUACACGUUCGAGUGGCAUCGAUGUGAGUGAUUUUUUCUUUGCAUGUCACACCGAUGUUACUAUCUGGAGCACUUCAUUUAAAAACGAUCUAGUUAAGUGACUCCUACACUCACAUCGCAUGCGUGUGAUUGUCACUUCAUUAACUCAGUUAAGAUAACUGCUGGCGAGUUCUAAAAGUUGUCAGGUAUGUUUAUGAUGCGUAAGUAAGGUUGAGGACUUUACCAAAGGUGUAAAUUGCACACGUUCAUUAUGAAGAUACGGGCUAUGAUGAGUUUUUAAUGGAAUCCAUAUUUCCAUACUUAUGUUUUAAAUGUAAAAGUAACUGUGUCUGCCAGUAACGCUUUCACGACUGAACGAUAGUACAUAUUUCGAUGAAAUUUGGUAUGAAGAUAGUUUGAGAUAUUGGCCAAGAUAUAGGCUAUUUUUUAUCCUGGUAAAAUAUGUUAUAGACCUGUUAUAUACUGUCUUCUUACGCCGAGAGAUCCGCGAGCAAAAUCUAGUAAUUAUUAUUUUCCAUAUAUAGCAAACCGAUAAGCUGCGGUAUUCGCUCGAGGAUCCCACGUCCGACCGUUCGGUCUUCGAGAAGUGACUUCAGGAAGCACGUACAAGUAAUAUUAUUGAUCACAGGGUACAGCGGUCCAACCCGAUUUGAAUUUCUAAUGAACUCGUUAGAAUCGGUCCGCACACGGCCCUCCGACAAGUGAUAAAAAAAAUGUUUCCUUUUUGGCUCAUCGUGCAUGAUUACAGACCAUUCUUAAACGGCGCCUUCUCGCAAAUGUUUAUCAUAAUGACGGCACAGUCGUGUAUUCGUUUUUUUAAAAAGCACCAUUAAGUACUUACAUUUAAAGGGAAGUGUGUAAAAAUGUUCGAGGAAUGAAUGAAGUAAAUACAUAUAAAUUGCGUGGAAACAGAUUAAAGUAUCAAUGAAGUUUUCGUGUAGGAACAUAAAGUAGACGAUACUUUCUCAGUUCCACAGCAACGUAGCAAUUGGAGUUGGUACCAGUUGUUAAUUAAAGCCCGGCGGCAGAGCCUAGCGCGAAACUUCGAUUGCGCUGUCAAAAAUCCGAAGAAUUAUUCCAGUAGUAAAAUAAGUUGUGCGAUUUUAGGCUUUAUCGUAGGAGUUCAGGCAUAUUAGCGAAUUUAUACUGCACGGAUGCAAUAUGCCGCCGUACCGAGCCGCUAGUUGAACACAGCGCUUUUAUUAAAAACUGUUUUUAUUUAUUGACGAUUCGAAGUAGAAGAUUUUUCUUUCCGUAUUUCUGAAUCUAGAUUCGGGAAAUUGAUUUCCAACUCUCAGUACUUUUAUUGUAAAAACCAGAAUCUUUACGAUUACUUAAAUUUAAACAAAAAUAUUGAGUUUUAAAAAUACAUGUAGCAUUUAAAGCCUAGAUUUAUGGAUCAUUGUUUGCAGUAAUUACACUAUUGCACUGUUACUUCGAGGUUAAAGAAGCACGUACUAAGUACUUCUGUUAGGCAAAAUAUCUACGGAAUUGCGACUACAAAGUGUAUAAAUUGUUUGUAAAAGUUAAACGAAGAACCACUUCCGUGUCUUGUUAAUUUUACAUUUUACCAACGUUUGUUACUUUGUUUCGAAUGAUAAUUGUAUAAUUAACAAUAUAAUUUCUUGUACAACCCAAGCUGAUGUAAAAUGGAAUAUAAGUUUAAAGAUUU